rnacentral:rRNA from 1 species
AACGAACGCUGGCGGCAUGCCUAACACAUGCAAGUCGAACGAGACCUUCGGGUCUAGUGGCGCACGGGUGCGUAACGCGUGGGAAUCUACCCUUGGGUUCGGAAUAACAGUUAGAAAUGACUGCUAAUACCGGAUGAUGACGUAAGUCCAAAGAUUUAUCGCCCAAGGAUGAGCCCGCGUAAGAUUAGCUUGUUGGUGGGGUAAUGGCCUACCAAGGCGACGAUCUUUAGCUGGUCUGAGAGGAUGAUCAGCCACACUGGGACUGAGACACGGCCCAGACUCCUCCGGGAGGCAGCAGUGGGGAAUAUUGGACCAUGGGCGAAAGCCUGAUCCAGCAAUGCCGCGUGAGUGAUGAAGGCCUUAGGGUUGUAAAGCUCUUUUACCAGGGAUGAUAAUGACAGUACCUGGAGAAUAGCUCCGGCUAACUCCGUGCCAGCAGCCGCCGCCG